GAAGACUGAAGAGAAGAGGGAGAAGAGAGAAGACUGAAGAGAAGAGGGAGAAGAGAGAAGACUGAAGAGAAGAGGGGCUGAGGGAGGCGUUGCUUCGAAUCUGGUGAACAUGGAUUGAGAGGUACGGCUGAGGCUGUAGGAGACAAGACUGAAGAGAAGAGGUGUUGGAUUGAGCGGCGCGGCUCGGCUGUAAGAGAGAAGACUGAAGAAAAGAGGAAGAGAGAAGAGAGAAGAGGGGCUGAGGUUGUAAGAGAGAAGAGGGGAAGAGAGAACACUGAAGAGAAGAGGGAGGCGUGGCUGAGGCUGUA